GAACGCUAGCUACAGGCUUAACACAUGCAAGUCGAGGGGAAACGACAUUGGAAGCUUGCUUCCUAUGGGCGUCGACCGGCGCACGGGUGAGUAACGCGUAUCCAACCUGCCCACCACUUGGGAAUAACCUUGCGAAAGUAAGACUAAUGCCCAAUGACGUUGAAAGAAGACAUCUGAUUUCAACUAAAGAUUCAUCGGUGAUGGAUGGGGAUGCGUCCGAUUAGCUUGUUGGCGGGGUAACGGCCCACCAAGGCGACGAUCGGUAGGGGUUCUGAGAGGAAGGUCCCCCACAUUGGAACUGAGACACGGUCCAAACUCCUACGGGAGGCAGCAGUGAGGAAUAUUGGUCAAUGGGCGAGAGCCUGAACCAGCCAAGUAGCGUGCAGGAUGACGGCCCUAUGGGUUGUAAACUGCUUUUAUAAGGGAAUAAAGUGGGGCUCGUGAGCUCCUUUGCAUGUACCUUAUGAAUAAGGACCGGCUAAUUCCGUGCCAGCAGCCGCGGUAAUACGGAAGGUCCGGGCGUUAUCCGGAUUUAUUGGGUUUAAAGGGAGCGUAGGCCGGAGAUUAAGCGUGUUGUGAAAUGUAGACGCUCAACGUCUGCACUGCAGCGCGAACUGGUUUCCUUGAGUACGCACAAAGUGGGCGGAAUUCGUGGUGUAGCGGUGAAAUGCUUAGAUAUCACGAAGAACUCCGAUUGCGAAGGCAGCUCACUGGAGCGCAACUGACGCUGAAGCUCGAAAGUGCGGGUAUCGAACAGGAUUAGAUACCCUGGUAGUCCGCACGGUAAACGAUGGAUGCCCGCUGUUGGUCUGAAUAGGUCAGCGGCCAAGCGAAAGCAUUAAGCAUCCCACCUGGGGAGUACGCCGGCAACGGUGAAACUCAAAGGAAUUGACGGAAGGG
rnacentral:rRNA from 1 species